GAUGAACGCUGGCGGUGCGCCUAAUACAUGCAAGUCGAGCGAACAGACGAGGAGCUUACUCCUCUGACGUUAGCGGCGGACGGGUGAGUAACACGUGGAUAACCUACCUAUAAGACUGGGAUAACUUCGGGAAACCGGAGCUAAUACCGGAUAACAUGUUGAACCGCAUGGUUCAACAGUGAAAGACGGUCUUGCUGUCACUUAUAGAUGGAUCCGCGUCGCAUUAGCUAGUUGGUAAGGUAACGGCUUACCAAGGCAACGAUGCGUAGCCGACCUGAGAGGGUGAUCGGCCACACUGGAACUGAGACACGGUCCAGACUCCUACGGGAGGAAGCAGUAGGGAAUCUUCCGCAAUGGGCGAAAGCCUGACGGAGCAACGCCGCGUGAGUGAAGAAGGUCUUCGGAUCGUAAAACUCUGUUAUUAGGGAAGAACAAAUGUGUAAGUAACUAUGCACGUCUUGACGGUACCUAAUCAGAAAGCCACGGCUAACUACGUG
rnacentral:rRNA from 1 species